AUUGAACGCUGGCGGCAUGCUUUACACAUGCAAGUCGAACGGUAACAGGGAGCUUGCUCCGCUGACGAGUGGCGAACGGGUGAGUAAUGCAUCGGAACGUGCCCAGUCGUGGGGAUAACGCGGCGAAAGUUGUGCUAAUACCGCAUACGUCCUGAGGGAGAAAGCAGGGGAUCUUCGGCCCUUGUGCGAUUGGAGCGGCCGAUGUCAGAUUAGCUAGUUGGUGAGGUAAAGGCUAACCAAGGCGACGAUCUGUAGCUGGGCUGAGAGGAUGAUCAGCCACACUGGAACUGAGACACGGUCCAGACUCCUACGGGAGGCAGCAGUGGGGAAUUUUGGACAAUGGGCGCAAGCCUGAUCCAGCCAUGCCGCGUGAGUGAAGAAGGCCUUCGGGUUGUAAAGCUCUUUCGGCCGGGAAAAAAUCGCAAAGGCUAAUAUCCUUUGUGGAUGAUGGUACCGGAAUAAGAAGCACCGGCUAACUACGUGCCAGCCGCCGCCGUAA
rnacentral:rRNA from 1 species